AGUGGGAUAACUGGGUCAAAUAGUGAUUCCAUUCCAAGUUUUCUGAGGAAUUUCUGGAGUGGUUGCACCAAUUUGCAAUCCCACCAGCAAU
rnacentral:pre_miRNA from 1 species